AGUGAACGCUGGCGGUAGGCCUAACACAUGCAAGUCGAACGGCAGCACAGUAAGAGCUUGCUCUUACGGGUGGCGAGUGGCGGACGGGUGAGGAAUACAUCGGAAUCUACUUUUUCGUGGGGGAUAACGUAGGGAAACUUACGCUAAUACCGCAUACGACAUACGGGUGAAAGCAGGGGAUCUUCGGACCUUGCGCGACUGAAUGAGCCGAUGUCGGAUUAGCUAGUGGGCGGGGUAAAGGCCCACCAAGGCGACGAUCCGUAGCUGGUCUGAGAGGAUGAUCAGCCACACUGGAACUGAGACACGGUCCAGACUCCUUCGGGAGGCAGCAGUGGGGAAUAUUGGACAAUGGGUGCAAGCCUGAUCCAGCCAUACCGCGUGGGUGAAGAUGGCCUUCGGGUUGUAAAGCCCUUUUGUUGGGAAAGAAAAGCAGCAGGUUAAUACCCCGCUGUUCUGACGGUACCCAAAGAAUAAGCACCGGCUAACUUCGUG
rnacentral:rRNA from 1 species